CCUACGGGAGGCAGCAGUGGGGAAUAUUGCACAAUGGUGGAAACCCUGAUGCAGCGACGCCGCGUUAGUGAAGAAGUAAUUCGUUAUGUAAAGCUCUAUUAGCAAGGAAGAAAAUGACGGUACCUGAGUAAGAAUCCACGGCUAACUACGUGCCAGCAGCCGCGUUAAUUCGUAGGGGGCAAGCGUUAUCCGGCUUUAACGGGUGUUAAGGGAGCUUAUACGGCAGUGCAAGUCUGGAGUGAAAGGCGGGGGCGCAACCCCCGGACUGCUCUGGAAACUGUACGGCUGGAGUUGAGGAGAGGUAAGUGGAAUUCGUAGUGUAGCGGUGAAAUGCAGAGAUAUUAGGAAGAAAACCAGUGGCGAAGGCGGCUUACUGGACCGUAACUGACGUUGAGGCUCGAAAGCGUGGGGAGCAAACAGGAUUAGAGACCCUAGUAGUC
rnacentral:rRNA from 1 species